rnacentral:rRNA from 1 species
CUGCCCCUGUCAGGGGGACAACCCGCCGAAAGGCGGGCUAAACCCGCGUACAUGCCACCGGGGCAUCCCGGAGGCAGGAAAGGCUUCGGCCGGACAGGGAUGGGCAUGCGGCGCAUUAGGCAGUAGGCGGGGUAACGGCCACCUAACCGACGAUGCGUAGGGGUUCUGAGAGGAAGGUCCCCCACACUGGUACUGAGACACGGACCAGACUCCUACGGGAGGCAGCAGUGAGGAAUAUUGGUCAAUGGUCGGGAGACUGAACCAGCCAAGCCGCGUGAGGGAUGAAGGUACAGAGUAUCGUAAACCUCUUUUGUCAGGGAACAAAGGCGGGGACGUGUCCCCGGAUGAGUGUACCUGAAGAAAAAGCAUCGGCUAACUCCGUGCCAGCAGCCGCGGUAAUACGGAGGAUGCGAGCGUUAUCCGGAUUUAUUGGGUUUAAAGGGUGCGCAGGCGGUCUGUUAAGUCAGCGGUCAAAGCCCGGGGCUCAACCCCGGCCCGCCGUUGAAACUGGCAGUCUCGAGUUGGAGAGAAGUAUGCGGAAUGCGCGGUGUAGCGGUGAAAUGCAUAGAUAUCGCGCAGAACUCCGAUUGCGAAGGCAGCAUGCCGGCUCCACACUGACGCUGAGGCACGAAAGCGUGGGUAUCGAACAGGAUUAGAUACCCUGGUAGUCCACGCAGUAAAC